GCGGAGGAAAAGAAAAUAACAAUGAUUUCCCUAGUAACGGCGAGUGAAGAGGAAAGAGCUCAAAGUUGGAACCUGUUUGGCUUAGCUAAACCGGAUUGUAAACUGUAGAAGUGUUUUCCAGACACGCCUGGUAAAAAAGUCCUUUGGAACAGGGCAUCAUAGAGGGUGAGAAUCCCGUCAUUGGCCAGAGCUGUUGUCUUUUGUGAUACAUUUUCAAAGAGUCAGGUUGUUUGGGAAUGCAGCCUAAAUUGGGUGGUAAAUCUCACCUAAAGCUAAAUAUUUGCGAGAGACCGAUAGCGAACAAGUACCGUGAGGGAAAGAUGAAAAGAACUUUGAAAAGAGAGUUAAACAGUAUGUGAAAUUGUUAAAAGGGAACCGUUUGGAGCCAGACUGGCUUAACUGUAAUCAAUCUAGGCUUUGGCCUGGAUGCACUUGCGGUUUAUGCCGGCCAACGACAGUUUUGUUGAGGGGAAAAAAUUACAUUGAAUGUGGCCCUUCGGGGUGUUAUAGCUUUGUAAAAAAUACCUUGGACUGGACUGAGGAACGCAGUGAAUGCCUUUAGGCAAGAUUGCUGGGUGCUUUCGCUAAUAAAUGCUAGAAUUUCUGCUUCGGGUGGUGCUAGUGUUUAAAGGAGGAACUCGGCUUAGUAUAUUUUUUAUUCGCUUAGGUUGUUGGCUUAAUGACUCUAAAUGAC
rnacentral:rRNA from 1 species